ensembl:lncRNA
CUACGUCGUACGAUUGAGACAAGGAAACUUGGAAUGACUUUUCAUAGGUUUCCCAGAGACUAUGGGUUGAGGAGGAAUUGGAAGUUUGUCGGCUUAGACCUGGUGUCAUUCCAUCAGUGUUAAACUUCCCGGCUCAUCUUGGAAGAGUACGUGCCAGAAAGACCACGACCAAGCAGCCUUGAGAUCUUAGACAGCGUCUCCCUCAGGUCCCUCUCUAUCUCCCCACACAUCCACCAACCACUGGAACACAUCUCCAAAGUUCUGCUGGACCAGCUCAGCUUCCCCUCAGAAGAAGUGGCGCCACCUGCCAGAUGAAGGAGCCUUUUGAGAGGCAGCUGGCAUCGUGAUUGGACUGUACUUUGGUCUGUUCCAGUCCAGCUUCAGCUCCAGAGACGGCAGGCGGGACGAGUCAACGGAGGCCUGGUGGACGAAGGCAUGCAGCUGAGUACAAUCCAGAAAACAACAGAGGAGGAGUGCAGCAGCCCAGGGCCAGAAUAAACAGAGUAGCAUCAUAUGUCUCUUAGAAAACAUCAUAGUAUAGCCUUUGCUAUGAAAAAAUACCAUCAUAUACAUCGUAUAUUGUACAAAUAACAAGUCAAAGCAAAGAGACAUACAUUGUAGAAUUGUAGUAAUUGUGGGCUGACUGAUUUACUAAUUAUCAGUAUUUUAUUUUUUACUGAUUUACAGUAAUAAAUACAUUUAAAAAUG